CUCUUCCCUGUGACAGAAGCCCGACAGCAUAUUUUAGCGAGAUCUCAAGAAAAAAAAUGCAAAUGUCCUUGCCCGUGGUCACGGGCACAGUCAGAUUCUCAUGCGCAGUGCCUAAAGCGAAACUUGGCACUCUUGCUUUUCUGUCAGCGACUUUUGGAGUGUACUCCUUAAGAACUUGCUCCAGCAGAUGCCUCUCAGAGAGGUGCUUGCCUCCUGCUCAGUGGUACCAUAGCUCACGAGGCUCCUCCCGGCAACACAGGCUCUCGGAGGCUAUUUGGUUUGGGAUUAAGACUCCAUCAUGUCUGCUUACGAGGAAUAUUGUCAGUGUGAUAGAAUGAAGGAUCGCAUAGGAGGACUGUGGGAUCCUGGGGAGAAUACCCGCGGUUUGCUUCUUGUCAGUGUCCUUCAGACAUCUGUCACAGGGUAGGUCCACUGAGAAGUCUCCGACCACCACCUGCCUGUCACCACAGAUCACUAGACACUGAUGGCUUUCAAGUUCUUACAUAAACCUUCGACGGCAUACAUCCCAGUUUGGACAGAAAUACUUGAGAUCUGAAGGAGCCCCCAGAAAAUGUCCUCGGUGGGGUUUGAACACAGAAACUCAGAGCAGGAAAGUGGCACUCUCUCUUGAUAGAAGGUAUCCCAUUACUGGCGAUAAUGGUUUUGAAUUUAGCUGUCAGAAAGAUCUCCGAGGGGGAAAAAUAUGUUGGUUUGUUCAGCCUGAGAAAGGUAUAAUUGGCUUCUGUUGGAUUUGACAUAAAUGCCCCCUCAGUGUCGAAACUCAGACAGAUUCAUGAAACGUUUGGACUCAGCAGCACCACCUGAAGUUUGGAGAAUGUGCGGAGGUAGGAUGGACAGCCACGUCAUGGCCUAGCUAAACAGUUCCUGCACUCUCUACAGCUCUGGAUUCCUCUUUUUUUUUUUUUAAGAUUUUUUUAAAAUGUAUUUUAUGUAUAUGAGUACACUGUAGCUGUACAGAUGGGUGCGAGCCAUCAUGUGGUUAUUGGGAAUUGAACUCAGGAUCUCUGCUCUCUCCGGCCCUGCUCGCUAUGGCCCAAAGAUACAUUUAUUAUUAUAUGUAAGUACACAGUAGAGGGCAUCAGAUCUCAUUACAGAUGGUUGUGAGCCACCAUGUGGUUGCUGGGAUUUCAACUCAAGACCUUCAGAAGAACAGUCAGUGCUUUUAACCGCUGAGCCAUCUCUCCAGCCCUGGAUCCCUCCUUUUGCAGCAAGACUAUGCCUCAGUUCCCGGAACAAGGUCCCCAGUGACCCAGCAUCCACCAUCGUUCAGCUUGCACUUGGGGUUCUGUAUCACCUGAGUGCGUGGCUCCUCCCACAGGGAGACGCUACUCUCCCCCUCUUGUUUCUCAGUCACCCUGCCCUGCAGUGUCUGAUGGAGAGGACUUAGAAAGAAGGAAAGCUUUGUUGUGGCUCACAGUGGGGAAGGUGUGUUCUCAGAUCACACCAUGGCGGCCAGGAAGUCAAGAGAAACAGAAUUUCAUACUUGGGCGGCUUUCUCCCAUUUGUGCUACACACACAAACACACACACAUACACACACAGAGUUCAUCCCCUGGAAAUGUGCUCACAUUGGCUGUGACAACCAAGACAGAAGAUCACCCUGGACCCUCCUGAUGGCUCUCCUAGGGUACCACUGUGGCAGUCACUGGGUGGGGCUGGGAUAUGGGUUCUCAACCUGUGGGUUGCGACCCCUUUGACAAACAGCUGUCUCCAAGGCCAUUUACAUUAUGACUCAUAACAGUAGCAAAACUGCUGUUAGUAGGUAGCCAUGAAGUAACGUUAUGGUUGGGGUCACCACGACAUGAGGAACUGUAUUAGAUGGCCGUAGUGCUAGGAAGGUUGAGAACCAGUGGGCCAGGACUAGGAGGUCUUUCUUUUUAAGGCCCAUCUGUCAGCGUGUGUCUAAGGAGUCCUAGUGUUGGAGGUUUUAUGAGCUCAUUUGUAUCAGUCACUAAUGAUCUGUCAACCCAACGCCAUCUCCAGCACAACCAUCUGUCUCCUGCCCUGAUUUCUGCAUCAGGGUUAGUUCCCGCUGCUCUUACACUGAGGGGAAAAAAAAAUGGCAACACUAUCCCGGCACAAGAGACUACAGAGGGGGAUGUAAGCCAGGAUGGUUCUUUGGUUUUUUUUCAUCCGAGAGGCCCGUAGGGCUCUUGGCUGUGAGACCUGGAGUUGGGGUAGCCACUUUGUAACAAGGAGAAGAGUUUGCUGCAUUCCAGAGCAGUUGGAUUGAUACAGAAACCGUUGCCCACCUCCAGACUUCUUACCAUGAGGGAAGCAAAUGCAUGUUUAUGUCGCUGGGGUGUUGGGUUUUUUGUGCUUGUAGCCUGCAGUAGUCCUAAUCAAUACCCCGCAGUUUCCUUUGAUUUUUCCCCGAUAACUUGUGGCUCUCCAUGGCAUCUCAGUGUGAGCGAUGGGACCAGACUGAGGGCUAAAUCCAAGGGACCUGAAGUACACUCGUGGGUCCCCUCUUUUUAAUUAACUAAUUCAUUAAAGUAAUUAUUUUUUUGAGGAA